GGAAGGACUAUUUAAUUGAUAGAUGAAUUGCAUCUUAUUGGAUUUUUGUUUGUCAAACACCAAACGACAUUAUAGAUUAAAGACCUGUCUAGGUAGAGAAGAAACACAAUUUGAUGAGAAGGAAAAUGUUUCCAACUGUAUUCAGUUAAAGACCUCGGUAAUCAAAGGCAUCAAAAAACAGCUAUUGGACCAGUUUCCAGACAUUGAGUCAAGGCUCAACCAUAUCAUGCCAAAAAAGGACCCUGUCAAAAUAGUGAGAUGCCAUGAACACAUUGAAAUCUUGACAGUGAAUGGAGAAUUGCUCUUCUUCAGACAAAGAGAAGGAUCGUUCUACCCAACUUUCUGACUGCUGCAUAAGUACCCCUUUAUUCUUCCACACCAACAAGUAAAGGGGCCAUCAAGUUUGUCCUAAGUGGAGCCAAUAUCAUGUGCCCUGGAUUGACAUCCCCAGGUGCCAAACUCUACCCUUCUGCCUCAGAAACAGUAGUUGCCAUAAUGGUGGAGGGCAAGCAAUAUGCGCUUGGUGUCGGAGUCAUGAAGAUGUCUGCAGAAAACAUAUUCAAGUUCACCAUCCGCUUCCGCCAUCGUCCUCGAGUCCAUCCACCUUCCAUAGUCUUUCAGAAGGCUGAUAAUAUCCUCAAAAAGUUCUACAACUGCACCAUUGAGCUCCACCAUCUUGACUGGCUGCAUCAUCGCUUGAAAUGACAACUGCUCGGGGCCAAACCAGGAGGAAGGCCCUAAAACUUGUCAGACUCCAACCACCCAAGUCAUAGACUGUUCUCUCUGCUACCGCAUGGCAAGCGAUACCGGAGCACCAAGUCUGUGACCAGAAGGCACCUGAGCAGCUCCUACCCCCAAGCCAUAAGAUUGGUUAAUCAAAUGGCUACCUGGACAAUUUACUUUACACUGACCCCCUCUAAUAUUUAUGCUUGUAAGCAUUUCAUUGUAAAGUUGUACCUGUUGUAUUUGAUGCAUUUGACCAAUACAAUUUUAUUUGAUUUGAUUUAGUCCUCCACUCCAUCCUGCUCUUGGAAUCCUCUUGAUAGCUCAUAUCUGUGGCUUGGGGGGACCAUUGAUUCAUGAAAAAUAUAACUUAUAAUUGCCUCAUGAGCUUAGUUGAACUGUACCUCAUCAGAACCUAAAAUAUAAGCUUGAUUUACUCCAGUGUUUGUAUCAAAGUAAAUGUGAACAAACACUAUAUAGCCUCAAAAGAUGGUUAAAGCUAUCAUUUAGAUGUCAUGGAUGGUCAGUCCUUGCAUCCUAUUGCUCUGUCUAUGAAUUUGAGAGUGGUUGCAUUUCUCCAGCCCCAUCCCUCUUUACCGAAACGGGGGCAGGGAGAAAGCUUAGUUAUUGUUUCAACUGCUGAUUACCGCUUUAAACUAUUUGUGUGACAAUAGUAAAUGUCACUUAUUUCGACACGAACCAGAUACAAUGCCAUUGUACAAACUUUGAAAUGGAUAUCAUCACCAUAACUCAUCAUAUAAUAUUUUAUUUUGUAUAGCCUAAUGUUGAAAUUAGAUUUUGACACAUCAUAAUUGUUUUUUCAUUUUGAAAUUGAGUAAUACAAUAUUCUAUGAUGGAAGUCUAGUCCUGCUUGUUUUCAUGACUAUUUUUUCAUCACUAUUUUUCACCUAAGAAUGAGCAGAUGAGAUGAUGUAUAGAGGUAAGAUCAAGACACCAGAUUGUUUUCAACAGCAAUUUCUGAAACCUGUAGACAACCAUAUGACAACCUUAUAAAUCACUUACAACAUUCUGGGCCUUUUGAUCAUACUCCUAUUUCCUGUUAUUAAAAACCUUUCAUUUUGACAAAGAGACCUUAAAACCUCUUUGACACACCACACACUACGUCAUACUUUGUACCCUAUUGAACUUUUCUCUGAUCUUUUUUUCAACAAUCACUAAGGUUAUAUAUGAUCAAGGUUGUGUGAAAUGUAAAUGAUAGGAUGGUUUUGCAAAUACAUAUACAAUAAUACUUAAUUUGUUAUGUAUAACAUUCAACAGGCUUCCCAUAUAAACUGAC